ACUUAUUUUGUCAGCAGUGACUUUUGGAGAAGCCUCCAUUUUAAAGAACUUAUGGUUUAAAAAACCUUGUAGAACACGCCAGUAGUAAGAGUUACAUAGCGCCCGGCAUGGGUUCGUCAACUUUGAGAGCCUUUAUCGAUUUUGGUCAGCAUUAACUCAUAAGCAAGUUGUUUUGUGUAUCUUUCUCUUCGUAGUGCACAAAAAAUUGAAAAAUAAUGCAGUUGAACGGAUUAUCCGUUUUAUUUAACGUUCUUAUUUUCGAGUAGAACGCCAUUUUAGUCGUUAUCUUCUUAGCAGAUAUAUGUAAGUGAAAAAUGUGGAUAAGGAUCCGGUACAUGCUAUGGGCUCCUCAUAUUCUACGGAAAAAUUCAGCUAAUGAAGCAGAUUGAUGAAAUGGAUGCUCCUCAGCGUGCAUCAGCAGAUCUAAAAAUAUUCUACAAAACUUUGCGAUGUACAACUGCAUUUAGAUAUUAAUAACAUUCUGAUUC